CGGAGUGGCGGACGGGUGAGGAAUACAUCGGAAUCUACUCUGUCGUGGGGGAUAACGUAGGGAAACUUACGCUAAUACCGCAUACGACCUACGGGUGAAAGCAGGGGAUCUUCGGACCUUGCGCGAUUGAAUGAGCCGAUGUCGGAUUAGCUAGUUGGCGGGGUAAAGGCCCACCAAGGCGACGAUCCGUAGCUGGUCUGAGAGGAUGAUCAGCCACACUGGAACUGAGACACGGUCCAGACUCCUACGGGAGGCAGCAGGA
rnacentral:rRNA from 1 species